rnacentral:rRNA from 1 species
GAUGAACGCUAGCUACAGGCUUAACACAUGCAAGUCGAGGGGCAGCAUGAACUUAGCUUGCUAAGUUUGAUGGCGACCGGCGCACGGGUGAGUAACACGUAUCCAACCUGCCGAUGACUCGGGGAUAGCCUUUCGAAAGAAAGAUUAAUACCCGAUGGCAUAGUUCUUCCGCAUGGUAGAACUAUUAAAGAAUUUCGGUCAUCGAUGGGGAUGCGUUCCAUUAGGUUGUUGGCGGGGUAACGGCCCACCAAGCCUUCGAUGGAUAGGGGUUCUGAGAGGAAGGUCCCCCACAUUGGAACUGAGACACGGUCCAAACUCCUACGGGAGGAAGCAGUGAGGAAUAUUGGUCAAUGGACGAGAGUCUGAACCAGCCAAGUAGCGUGAAGGAUGACUGCCCUAUGGGUUGUAAACUUCUUUUAUACGGGAAUAAAGUGAGGCACGUGUGCCUUUUUGUAUGUACCGUAUGAAUAAGGAUCGGCUAACUCCGUG